AUUGAACGCUGGCGGCAGGCUUAACACGUGCAAGUCGAGCGGGGUGAUGUGCUUCGGUACUGAUCCUAGCGGCUGACGGGUGAGUAAUGCUUAGGAAUCUGCCAUUUAGGGGGGGACAACAUUCCGAAAGGAAUGCUAAUACCGCAUACGUCCUACGGGAGAAAGCAGGGGAUCUUCGGACCUUGCGCUAAAUGAAGAGCCUAAGUCGGAUUAGCUAGUUGGUGGGGUAAAGGCCUACCAAGGCGACGAUCUGUAGCGGGUCUGAGAGGAUGAUCCGCCACACUGGGACUGAGACACGGCCCAGACUCCUACGGGAGGCAGCAGUGGGGAAUAUUGGACAAUGGGCGGAAGCCUGAUCCAGCCAUGCCGCGUGUGUGAAGAAGGCCUUUUGGUUGUAAAGCACUUUAAGCGAGGAGGAGGCUACCUGGAUUAAUACUCUGGGGUAGUGGACGUUACUCGCAGAACAAGCACCGGCUAACUCUGUGCCAGCAGCCGCCGUAAGAC
rnacentral:rRNA from 1 species